rnacentral:rRNA from 1 species
AACGUAGGUACCGAGCGUUAUCCGGAUUUACUGGGCGUAAAGCGUGCGUAGGCGGCUGCGCAAGUCGGUUGUGAAACCCCGGGGCUCAACCCCGGAACUGCAUCCGAUACUGCGUGGCUAGAGGUAGGUAGGGGAGAUCGGAAUUCCUGGUGUAGCGGUGAAAUGCGCAGAUAUCAGGAGGAACACCGGUGGCGAAGGCGGAUCUCUGGGCCUUACCUGACACUCAGGCACGAAAGCUAGGGGAGCGAACAGG